CCUUUCCCGCAGCCACCGCCGCCACUCUCUCGCUUCCCCUCGGGAUCUCCUCCCGAUUUAAUCCCCCCGACCACUUCCCUGGUUUUCAGCGCCGCCUAAUCACAACAACCUACCACCAUCCUCCGCCCGAGACCCUGGUCGUCGCUCCCAAGUUCCUCUGCCUGCACUCUCUCCGCAGCCGCCGAAGGACGUGCCUCCUCGUCCCCGGACAGCCCGGAACGAGUGGGAGAUGUCAUGGUCGCCCGCGGAAGCUCCGUCGUCACCGGGAUCGUUCCUCCGGCCUCGGCCCCGAAUCCGCGCAUCCUUGACGUUUCCCGCGCCUCUGCCUGCGUUGCUGCAUCGCCAGAGGUCGCCUCACGGCGCCAAGUUCACCUUCGCCGCUCCCCGGCAACAACGCUGCUGCCUCCCCUGUGCUGCUUCUCUUGCCCGAGCUCCUCAAGUCCGGCCGCCGGAGAUCCCUCGCAUCAAGCCGCCGCCGCUUCAAUCGCGCGACGCUGCGCCUUCGCCAAGCUCCGCCAUCGCGCCCUGCUUCCCCUGUUUCGAGCAGACGAACAAGGCAGCCAUGGCCCUGUUUGACCGAACCGGCCACAACCACGAGCGAACGCGCCCUUCCUUCGCCUUCGUUGACCGUGCCUCGAGGCCCAGCUCCAGCCCAAGGGACGGCCCAGCUCCGCAGCGUCGCCCCAGCCCAGAUCCAGCCAGGCCCAGUCGGGCCAAAUCCGCGCCGCCCUCGUUGGCCUUCCUCUUCACCAGCGGGCCAAGCCCAUGGUUCCGAUAACGUCGCAUUUGUGAGGAUUCGUUCGACUACGUCUG